AUAUUAGAUUGAAACACUGCUUCACGUACGAUCACAGAAGUUAAGCCACGUCGAACCUGGUCAGUUCCUAGAUGGGUGACCGCUUGGGAAAUACCGG